rnacentral:rRNA from 1 species
GAUGAACGCUGGCGGCGUGCCUAAUACAUGCAAGUCGAACGAAACUUCUUUAUCACCGAGUGCUUGCACUCACCGAUAAAGAGUUGAGUGGCGAACGGGUGAGUAACACGUGGGCAACCUGCCCAAAAGAGGGGGAUAACACUUGGAAACAGGUGCUAAUACCGCAUAACCAUAGUUACCGCAUGGUAACUAUGUAAAAGGUGGCUAUACUACCGCUUUUGGAUGGGCCCGCGGCGCAUUAGCUAGUUGGUAGGGUAAAGGCUUACCAAGGCAAUGAUGCGUAGCCGAAUUGAGAGGUUGAUCGGCCGCAUUGGGACUGAGACACGGCCCAAACUCCUACGGGAGGCAGCAGUAGGGAAUCUUCCACAAUGGGCGAAAGCCUGAUGGAGCAACGCCGCGUGGGUGAAGAAGGUCUGCGGAUCGUAAAACCCUGUUGUUAGAGAAGAAAGUGCGUGAGAGUAACUGUUCACGUUUCGACGGUAUCUAACCAGAAAGCCACGGCUAACUACGU